rnacentral:rRNA from 1 species
UGGGGAAUUUUGGACAAUGGGGGCAACCCUGAUCCAGCAAUGCCGCGUGAGUGAAGAAGGCCUUCGGGUUGUAAAGCUCUUUUGUCAGGGAAGAAACGGUAGUAGCGAAUAACUAUUACUAAUGACGGUACCUGAAGAAUAAGCACCGGCUAACUACGUGCCAGCAGCCGCGGUAAUACGUAGGGUGCAAGCGUUAAUCGGAAUUACUGGGCGUAAAGCGUGCGCAGGCGGUUGUGUAAGUCAGAUGUGAAAUCCCCGGGCUCAACCUGGGAAUUGCAUUUGAGACUGCACGGCUAGAGUGUGUCAGAGGGGGGUAGAAUUCCACGUGUAGCAGUGAAAUGCGUAGAUAUGUGGAGGAAUACCGAUGGCGAAGGCAGCCCCCUGGGAUAACACUGACGCUCAUGCACGAAAGCGUGGGGAGCAAACAGGAUUAGAUACCCGAGUAGUCCCUGAGCGGGCUGGCAAGGCGCAU